rnacentral:lncRNA from 1 species
GCAGAGAACACUUGUUCUCUUCUGUGCUCUGAGAUUCACUGAGGAGCUCAACCUGGACAGCAUUGCCUGGGGCCGAGAGAAUGAGCAUCACUAAUGAUCCAUGAGCCUAUGAGUUAUAAAAAUCCAGAUUCUCCAACCUAGCCAUUUGACAGGGGUGUAGUACAAUUGGAAGAUCAGAAAACAUCAAGAACAAAAUAUUAGAUGGAAUGUAAAACUGUAUUAAGAGUGGUUUGGAACUCUUGAGAAACAGUGGGUGCCUUCAGUCCUUGUGCUAUUAUUGAUUGGAGUUUGAGGCCACCGUCUGACAUCUUAGUUCAAACAGGCUAAUAGGCUUUUGAAUCUUCACUGGGGAAAGGAGGCAGAAGAGAAGAAGCUGCCAGGCUGGGAGAAUGGCUGUCUGAUGAGCUGCUGUCAGGCCUACAAAAGCGUAUUUCCACGUGGUCCUGCAUCCUGUCCCUGAGAUACAGUAAUAAAUCAUUGCAUAUAAAGGUGUCAAUAUUUCCACAGCCUCUGUUCAUAAGAGAGGUGAGCUGGAAGAAUACGAAGUCAAUGUUCAUGGAACUCUGCUUACGUUCCCAUUCCAAAAGACAGAACAAGGAUAUUUCAGGGAUUUCUACUUUGGGCAGAAGUGAAGAAAGAAAGAAUGCACUUUAAAUUGAUACUAUUAUCUCAUCUCCGGGAAGAAAUCCGGGGUAUCAAAAAGUUAAAGACUUCCUAGGUAAUUCAUCAUCUCUCAAGGCCUCACAGAUUUUAAGAUGAUAUGAUUUUUAAAGCCAAGGGAAGUAAUGCAUCUUCCUUAUUUUGUAGCUGAGAGAGCUGGAACCCAAAGGCAGAAGGGCUGGUAGAAGUUUGCACUAGUGAGAAGCAGAGCCUAGGCCACUCUCAGGAGUGGACAGCCUGCAAUUCCUGGAGUGCUCAGCUCCACCCCUAUUCUAUUCUUAUUUCUACCAGCAUCACAGGAUUCUGUGUCUGUAAAAUAAGGAUAACAAUACCUACUCUUUACAGACUAGUUUUAAGAAUCAAAUGGGACAGUAGAUACGGGGUGAAGAUGUUUUGCAAACUGUAAGCCCUUUAAGGUGCUAUACGCCUCUAUGCAAAUAUAAGCAUUACUAACACUGUUGACAUUAAAACAUAUUUGCUCCUAAUUUAUCAUGAGUAUAAAUAAAUAAUGACAGGUUUACAUUCUUCAGAGAUGACUUCAGGAGGCAUUUUCUUUUCAACCCUCUAAUAAAAUUCCUCUAAGUUUUCUUGAUAAGUUCUUUCUUCCCCUCAUUAUCGAAAGUAAUAUGUGCGUAUUAUAGAUAAUUUUAAAAUAUCAAGACAUAAAGAAAAAAAUGUUUCCCAUAGUUCCCAAACCCAAAGAUCAUCAUGAUUAAUCUUUUGAUAUAUUUCCUUCCAGUUUUCCCCCAUGCAUAUUAUAUCUGAGUUAUGAUCAUAUUAAAUUGGAUAUUCUAUUUCCCAGUUUUUCAUUUACCAUUAUAACUUAUAUAUUUUCCCACAUUACAAAAACUUAUUUUUAAGUGCCUUAAUGAUUGCACGACAUUUUAUUCUAUGGCUAUAUCAUAGACUAUUUAAUAAUUUCUUAUUAGCUGUUAGGUUAUUUUCUUUUUAAAAAUAUAUAUAAGGCAACAACUAACCGUGAAUAAAGCUUUUCUGUAUCUCAUUUUAUGAGGAACAUAUAAGGAUAGUUUACUAAAAAUAAAACGCUGAAAAUAUGAAAAGAUUUUGAUGCAUUUGCUGAAUUGCUUUCAAGGAGAUUUUCUCAAUUUAUGGCCAGGCACGAUGGCUUAUUCCUGUAAUCCCAGCAUUUUGGGAGGCCGAGGUGGACAGAUCACAUGAGGCCAGGAGUUCAAGACAAACUUGGCCAAUAUGAUGAAACCCCAUCUCUAUUAAAAAUACCAAAAAAUAGCUGGGCAUGGUGGCGAGCACCUCCCAGCUACUCAGGAGGCUGAGGCAACAUAAUCGCUUGAACCCGGGAGGCGGAGGUUGCAAUGAGCUGAGAUCGUGCCACUGCACUCCAACCUGGGCGACAGAGUGAGACUCAGUCUCAAAAAAAAAAAAAAACAAAACAAAACAAAACAAAAGAACAAGAUUUUAUCAAUGUAUAACUGGCCCACCAAUGGUAUAUGAGUUUCCUAGGGCUACUGUAAAAAAAUUACCAUAAACUAGAUGGCUUAAAACAACAGAAACUUAUUCUCUCACAGUUCUAGAAGCUAAAAGUCUGAAAUCAAGGUGUUGGUGGGGCCAUACUCUCUCUGAAGGCUCUGGGGAAGAAUCUUCCCUUGCGUCUUUGAGCUUCUGUUGGUUGCUGGCAAUCCCUGUCCUUCCUUGGCUUGUGACAGGAUAACUCCAAUGUCUGCUUCCAUCCUCCAUGGCCUUCUUCCUUAUGUAACUGUAUGUCUCCAAAUCUCUCUCUUCUUAUAAGAACACCUGUCUUUAAAUUUAGGGCCUGCUCUAAUAUAAUAUGAUCUCAUCUUAAGUUGAUCAUAUCCACAAAAGCCCUAUUUCUAAAUAAGGCCACAUUCACAGGUACCAGGGAUUAGCACUUCAAUAUAACUCUCUGGGGUACAUAAUUCAACAAACAAUAAAUGAUAUAUGUGAGUUCCCAACCCAUCAUGCAGUCCCCAGCAAUAUCGCUUUAUUUAUUUUUAUUUAUUUAUUUUGAGACAGAGUCUCACUCUGUUGCCCAGGCUGGAGUGCAGUGGUGCGAACUUGACUCACUGCAAGCUCCGCCUCCCGGGUUCACGCCAUUCUCCUGCCUCAGCCUCCCGAGUAGCUGGGUCUACAGGCACCCGCCACCACGCCUGGAUAAUUUUUUGUAUUUUUAGUAGAGACGGGGUAUCACAGUGUUAGCCAGGAAUAUCACUUUAUAUUUUAAUUGCAUUAUUUAUAUCUUCAAAACAGACAAUAGAUUUCCAUGAAGAUCUUCAUCCAUGUUGAGCAUGGUGGGGUGAUUACUUUUCAGAGGUUUUGAAGGCUAGAAUUCUUUUUGCAUAACCAGGCUGGAUAUUUACUUACGUUAAUUUUGGAAGCAGCACUCAUCUGCUUUUGAUGUGUACCUGUGUGCCAUCCCUGCUACAGGCUCCAGCCUCCUCACCACCUUGGGAAGGAAAUUCUAUCAGGAUCUGUCCUGAAAAGAGGGAAGCUCAGGAGCUUGGAAGUGAGACAAAGUUGGGUUCAAAUCCCAGCUCUGCCAUUUAGCACUGUUUCACCUUAAACUGUGUACUUAACGUCUCUAGCCCUCAGUUUUCUCCCCUGUUAAAUGAGAAUAAAAAACAUGUAUGAGUUAAGCACUUAGCCUGGAAUAUAACAAAUGCUCAGUACAUAUUAGCUAUGGUUAUUCAUGUUUAUUAUUGUAAUCGUUAUUGGUGUCAUUAUCACCUUGCUGCUGAUCCUUCCCAGUUUUUGUGUAAUGAGGCUCUGUCCCCUUGCCUAGGCAUGCCAUGUCUGGGCACUGUUCCUGGAGCUCAAGCGUUUUCUGUCUGGGCUCUGACUCUGCAACCCAGGCAUUUAUUGUCUGUGUUCCUAACAUGCACCUUGCAUAUUUAGAUUCUUACCCAGAUGUCUCUAGGUCCCUUGCAGGGCCUUGCUAUCUACCACUAGAUCUUCCCCUCAUGUCAGUGGGUAUUCUCUGCUACAGAACCAAGCCCAGGCAUUUUGGUCUCCCGCUUGUGCACAAUCAUAUUUCAGAACCCCAAACCUGACCUACACAUCCAGAAUUUGCUUUGCAUAUGAGUCCUCCCGCCCAGUCUGACAUCAGACAUUGCAUAGCAUAUUCCUUUAAUCAGCCCUUUCCUUACAAUCAGUAUGCUACAUAGUGAUUUUCUGAUAGUUGAUGACUGGUGUCUGGAUAAUACCAAGCCCAAUUCCUUCCUCUUAGCCUGUCCAGUCUCUUCUCUGCUCAAGUCCUGGAUUCAACAAUGAACUUCACUAGAAUCACCUACAUUAUUGGCCUUGGAAGGACUGUUCAGUACCAUAUAAAAUAAUGCCUAGAAUUUAAAAAAAAAUGAAUUUCCCCCCAGAUUCAGCAGCUUUUUGUUCCUUAUGUAUUUUACACCCAACAGGAUCAAUCAUGGGGAAUGGAAUGGGAAGAAAGAGAACGGUCAGUGCCAACGUGGUCUGGGGCCAUACAAUAGUGCACACAUUCUCUCCCAGUUCUAGCUGGGUGAAAAAUUACUUAUUACUUAAUACUUACCCUACUUAAUAAGGUAAGGGAAUUAUACAACUCAUCUAUGCAUAUUUUAUCCUGUGUAUUUAUGUUACUUUGGGAUGCCUGCUUAGGGUAACUACAUUAAAUCCAUUAAUGAUGAUUUUUAUCACUUCUUAAUAUCAAAGCUACCUGCUUGACUUCUCUUCAUGCAUAUUCAUGGCAUCAUUAACAGUUAGGCCAUGCCCCUCAAGAUAGCAGGUGUAGAACAAUGAGGCCACCAUGACCUGGAAGUGUGUGGUAAAAUAGCACACUUGAAAUGAUAAUGUUCCAAAAAAGCAAGACUUAGUUCAAAGAUUCAGAAAUAGCUUCAUUGCCCCAUCCUAUAUAACACUAUAUGCACGUUCUCCUAAACGUUGCCAAACACCUGCCAGCAGACAGAGACCAGCGCCUCCUUUGUUGUCCUUUCCAGAUUCUCAUAAGAAUCAAAUCUCUUAAUUCAAGAAAAGAGCCAUAGAGUUUCAAUAAAUGGUUAAAAAUGUCAAGGCUUUGAUUCUGAUCAAGAUAAAUCUCUGGAGGCAAUAGAAAAGAUUCUAUACUGGGUCUGAUCCAUUCUCCAGUUGCAUAACCCAUUUGUAACUCAUAGUUAUCAAUGUCAUGCCUAUAUGUAGGUCUACACAUACGCACAAACACACACAUGCCGUUUGAAAACUCCUGGUGUGACAUUCUGAUACUCAAGUUUACAAGCUGGCAAUGACAUUGCUCAAGACUUGAUUUUUUCACACUUUAUCAGGAACAGUGGUGAUACAGCUCUAGGAAUGAGAACGCUUUCCCUCUGGGCUCUUGAAGUCACAUAAUCUUUUAAUUAUGAGAGAGACUCAGGACCUUAUUGAGGUAGCAGCCACUAUCCAAGGGUUAGCAUCCAGGGUGGUGCUGGGAUCAAGCUCAGCUGAAGAAAAAAGCUCCAGGUAGAAUUCUAGAACACUGGGAGCUUGACUGUUGUUAUUAUUGUUACUUAACUUUUAAAGAAGAGGAUCUCAUGGGAAAUCAGAUGCCAUGGGAAAGCUAUGUGACUGAAUAAACAAUAAGCCAAUAAAGGAAGGCAAGGCAGAUGGGAUCCAAAUUAGAAGCAGCUUAAAUCUCACUGAGGUUAGCAGCUAAGAUUUGAUAAUUCAAAGAAGAUUUACCUUUAUUGCUCUAAAGAAAAUGAAUCUGUGCUAAAGUACAGGCAGUGGAGAAAAAUCUUCACAGCACCUGCAGAACUGCGUGCCAUAUGUGCAUUAUUUGCUCCAGUCAUGGAAGAGCUGGGAGAGAUUGGUAACUAAAGGAAGAUGAACUCACUCUCUGGAGGGUGACGACCUCAGAGCCGAAGUACGCAGCAAAGUCCGAUUGUGAUUUGAUUUUACAGACAGUUUGAGACUGGAAAUUAGGCCGCUGACUCAGGGUUGCCGUCUCACAUCAAAGGGUAUUUCCCUCCCUUUGCAACAUGCUGAUGGCCUCAGAAGUCUUUGCCCUUUACAACCCUCUCCAGGAACAGUCUGUCUGGACCCAAUCCAAGGAGCUCUCCCUGGCCUCUCGGCUUUGUGAAAUGCUGGAAUGUUGCUCUUCUUAACAGUGGGGGUACCCUGUUGUCAUUCAUUACAAAGUGGGAAAAUUAUUUUCUCAUGCUCCUGGGCCUCUCAGCAAGGGUGACAAAAUGAAAUAUGAAUUUCACUCUGCUUCUGAAUAAAGUAAUAGCCUAAUAGCCU